UACGGGGGGGGGCAAGCGUUGUUCGGAAUUACUGGGCGUAAAGGGCUCGUAGGCGGCCAACUAAGUCGGACGUGAAAUCCCUCGGCUUAACCGGGGAACUGCGUCCGAUACUGGAUGGCUUGAGUUCGGAAGAGGGAAGCGGAAUUCCCGGUGUAGUGGUGAAAUGCGUAGAGAUGUGGAGGAACACCAGUGGCGAAGGCGGCUUUCUGGUC
rnacentral:rRNA from 1 species